GAUAAAGUGGCUGAGGGAUAGGCAAUAAAUUGUAAAUUUAUUAACGAAAUUUGAUUUUCCUUUAUCA
rnacentral:tRNA from 1 species